CAAUCGAGGUCGCUCCUCUUUCAUCACUCUUCGUCUCCUCCAAACUCAUAGGUAACCGUUUGAAGCUCUCUGUAAGGUCGUCCGUUUCUGUAAUACAUUUCUUUAGUUCUCAUCAUUUAUUUCGAACCCACUACUAAUCCCACUCUAUCUGAAUUAAAUAUCGUAAUUAUCAUCAAAGGUAACCGUUUGAAGCUCUCUGUAUAAAUGGCUUCCUUCUCUGCGAUGAAUAGCCACAAUUCUAGGAGAUCCCUAAGAAAAACUUCAUCAAGCUUCGAUUCCAGUAAUGACUACUUUUUGCAUGCUUCUUCGAUUUUGGGAGGCUCCGAACGUCAAGAAAGGGGGCGAACUGAUGAGUGUCAACAUACUCUUCCUGGAUAAGACGGCGCUUGAUGUGAAAAGAGGGUGAGCUCACCUUUCCAGCUUCUUGAUGUUGUCUGUGUGAUAAGCUUCUACAAUCGUUUUAACUCACACUCAUAACAAGCACUCUCUUAUUGGUUUUGUUCACCUCUCUUCCAAGGUUCGUCCAUCCCUGGAACACAUUCAAUCACCUUCGUUACUAGCAUUAACCAAUUUGCGGUAGGUUGCCCUCCGUUCCAAGAAAAAGAUUGUCAGUGAUAGUUUUUACCGUGCACUGUAUCUAAACUUAUACUUCCCUGCCAUGAAUUCUUCCAAGGCAAGCUAAAUUUUAAAGCUUCUGCUUUCCUAUGUUUCCGUCACGUCGUUUUACUUUUAGUUCAUCACUGUCUUAUUAGAAUUUGGUGGAUUGCAGAGUUGGUUUUACAGUGUUGGCGUAUACUCCUUUAGUGAUCUUGAUUAGUAACGUAACACAUAAAGAGUGACAGUGUCAAAUCACUGUAAUGAUUAUUUGCCUGUUAUCUCUAAAUUAAGAUUAAUUUUAAAUACUUGACUAUGCAAGUUGAAGGAACAGCGUCUGUUUGAGGAGGAGAUAGCAAAAGCGAAAGAGGCAAAAGAGAGGAAGAAGUGGAGAGAAGAAAGCUACAAAGUAGGAAAAGGAGAAGUCAACUAUAUAGGCUCAGAAUGAAGCUAAAGACGAACCAGCUCUUUUCAUCUUAUAUUGUUUUAUUUUUUUUCAUGAUUUUUUAUUUGUGUUCUUUUUCUUGAGUUCCUUUCAUAAGGCUUGAUAGAUUUAGAUUUGGCAGUGAUAUAAAUUUAAUGGGGGUCUUCCUACCAUCAUUUCGAACGUGUGUACAUUUAUUUACUCCUUACAACUAAUUAACAAAGCUACUGGCUA